rnacentral:rRNA from 1 species
UACGUAGGGUGCAAGCGUUGUCCGGAAUUAUUGGGCGUAAAGAGCUCGUAGGCGGUUUGUCGCGUCUGCCGUGAAAGUCCGGGGCUCAACUCCGGAUCUGCGGUGGGUACGGGCAGACUAGAGCGAUGUAGGGGAGACUGGAAUUCCUGGUGUAGCGGUGAAAUGCGCAGAUAUCAGGAGGAACACCGAUGGCGAAGGCAGGUCUCUGGGCAUUAACUGACGCUGAGGAGCGAAAGCAUGGGGAGCGAACAGG